AUUGAACGCUGGCGGCAUGCCUUACACAUGCAAGUCGAACGGUAACAGGUCUUCGGAUGCUGACGAGUGGCGAACGGGUGAGUAAUACAUCGGAACGUGCCUAGUAGUGGGGGAUAACUACUCGAAAGAGUGGCUAAUACCGCAUGAGAUCUACGGAUGAAAGCAGGGGAUAGCAAGACCUUGUGCUACUAGAGCGGCCGAUGGCAGAUUAGGUAGUUGGUGGGAUAAAAGCUUACCAGGCCGACGAUCUGUAGCUGGUCUGAGAGGACGAUCAGCCACACUGGGACUGAGACACGGCCCAGACUCCUACGGGAGGCAGCAGUGGGGAAAUUUGGACAAUGGGCGCAAGCCUGAUCCAGCAAUGCCGCGUGCAGGAUGAAGGCCUUCGGGUUGUAAACUGCUUUUGUACGGAACGAAAAGCCCUGGGUUAAUACCCUGGGGUCAUGACGGUACCGUAAGAAUAAGCACCGGCUAACUACGUGCCAGCCGCCGCGGUAAUAC
rnacentral:rRNA from 1 species